ACUCCUACGGGAGGCAGCAGUGGGGAAUCUUGGACAAUGGGCGCAAGCCUGAUCCAGCCAUGCCGCGUGAGUGAUGAAGGCCCUAGGGUCGUAAGCUCUUUCGCCAGGGAUGAUAAUGACAGUACCUGGUAAAGAAACCCCGGCUAACUCCGUGCCAGCAGCCGCGGUAAUACGGAGGGGUUUAGCGUUGUUCGGAAUUUACUGGGCGUAAAGCGCGCGUAGGCGGACUGGAAAGUUGGGGUGAAUCCCGGGGCUCAACCCGGAACUGCCUCCAAAACUCCCAGUCUUGAGUUCGAGAGAGGUGAGUGGAAUUCCGAGUGUAGAGGUGAAAUUCGUAGAUAUUCGGAGGAACACCAGUGGCGAAGGCGGCUCACUGGCUCGAUACUGACGCUGAGGUGCGAAAGGUGUGGGGAGCAAACAGGAUUAGAUACCCUGGUAGCGACUGA
rnacentral:rRNA from 1 species